AUCUCGAAGGAUUGCGUCUCAUUUAUCACGCAAACCAAACUCAAAAUUGCGUCAAUAUAAGGACGCAUUCUCUUUUAUGUCACACAUGCGCAGUGGCCACUCUGCUGUCUGGAGCCCCCCUGACAUCUUUGUAGCCUAAUUUACUGAAAAAUAAGCCGUUAUUCAUGUUGCUCCACAUAACCGCGUAUUGCAACUUCAUAAUUAAAUCCCCACAACAAAAUACUGAGCUUAUGGGCUAUUUUAGUCACAUUUUAGUUCCUAGACAAAAGUCUGUUUUGCUAGGAUAUUAAUAAAAUAACAGAAACUGUUUUAUCCUAUACGAGAGCAUUUGUAGUAUUUGUCCAGAAGACUUUUGUGGCUGAAAACCAUUCAACCAGUAAGGUUUUUGAAAUAUUCAUUGUAAAUAACCCUGAUGUACCCCCACUGUUUAUGAUGAUGUCAUUUCAUCGCGACCUCCAUGCAUUGGAUUGUGGAUUUGAUUGUACUGCCUGCAGUCUGAUGUGGUUUGGCUGAGCUUUAUUCAUCAAUUGUUUUACGUCUCCAGUUUUCCCUGAGGUCCAAAAUAUUCAGUGGAGUGAAACUGUUGAUGGAAGUACAGUGCAUUACCAGGCGAAUACACCGGUGGCGACAAGAUCAAGCGACAGAGAAUCGCUGGACUGUGCAGCAAGAGUGAUAGAACAGCAAAAUGUAACAAGCUUGUCCUGGAGGACUGCUCUGAUGGGGAAUGCUGUGGAGGAGAGACAGGCAGACUGUGGUCCAUCGUGUGUGCUCCCAGUGCGUUAAUACACGGACAGUCCUUUUUAAGUGCAACCAGAGGAAUAAUGUGAUUGAGAGGAAGAGUGGCCCCAUACAUUGCUUGACCUGGAGCCUACCAAAGUCUAAGGUCUCAGGUGUCUCCAGAAGAACACAUCCCAAUGAAGACCCCAGUCAUAGUCAUCAACUUGACAGCUCAGCCUGUUACUUGAACUGUGUUCUUAGAGCCAAGUGUAACUGAGGUGUUUCCACACAGUCUGUCCCCCUUAGAUCUUGAACUUGCCACCACCUAGUCAACGCAUCGGUUCGGGUAUGGGAGGCACAGCACGAUACCGCUGAGCUAAAUGACCAGUCCCAUAGCUCAGCGCUGCUGGUACUGUAUGAGGCUUCGGGAGGGAGGUUUACUAUCCUUCCACGCCACACUCUGCUAGUUGGCCUCCGUUACACAAGCUCGAAUAAUCCAAGCAGCCAAUCCAACUUCUUCAGCACUGCCUUUGAACACUAUGAAGAACCACUCAGAACCACUGGUCCUAGAACUAAAUGACCACAUUAUACUGUUAAAGGUCCACUGUGUAGGAUGGUGAUCAGAGCAGGUAUUGCACCUAUGCUGCUCAUUGCAACUGUGCUACCUAUUGUCCAUUUUGACUUUUGAAUUUUCAAGAAUUUUACCAAGUAUUUACUAGUAUGUACCAAUAUUUACUAGUAUGACCAAAAUACAGUACAUUAUGCAACUAAAUUCAAGAUGGUGGACAAUGGACUCCUUUCAUGUUUUCAUGAAAAGUGUAAUUUUCCCAGUCAUAAUGAAUACUCAGAAUUUGAUGGUGGUAAGUAUUCUGAAAAAGGUUACAUUUGUGAAUGGCCUGAAUGAAUUCUGGAAAGAAACUGCUUAAAAAUAUUACACAGCGUACCUUUUAACAUUUCAUCUGUAGUAACAGAAUGUAGCGUUUCUCAGCUGCGACUCAAACCUAGACCCUCUUUCGUGGUGGUUGUUGUAAUGACACACUAAAAGCGAUAAUAUCUGCAUGAAGCUGCUCAGAAAGUGUCACUGGAUAUAUACCUUGAUAAAAGCAACAGAAUCUUCAAAGAAGAACAGAUACAAAAUGGGAUGCAUGCAUCAUGACAUUCCAACUGGUUGCAGUGAUAUUCAUGGAAAUGUCUAAUGCCUUUUCACCAUUAACUUAAACUUCUUUUAUGUUCUGUUCUUGUCUCUUUGUUAUGAUUGAAUUAGGAGUUUUAAUUUACACAAAAGCUGACACAUUUCCCACCUUUCUGUUAAGACUUGGUCCUAAGUGUUCUGAUUUGUUUGCUGUUUUAUACCUUGUGAAUAUUGAUGAUUUUUUAAUGAUUUUUAAUAAACUGUUUUGAUCAUUACA